AACCCGUGUCCCCUGCAUCGGCAGGCGGACUCUCAACCACUGCGCCACCAGGGAAGCCCUCUACCAUUUUUUAUCUAGGUAACCAUGAAAACAUUUUAGCCAUUCUCUUAAUGUGUUAAUAUAUUUGGAAAUAGAUACUGUUUUUUAAAAAGUUUUAUUAUUAUAUCUGUAUGCUAAAUUCUUUACUGGGGAUAAAAGAUUAUAUAUAUUGUUUCCCAGAGGUACAUGAAAAAAAUCAUUUUUGUUCACUAAGAUGAAAAGAAAAUGUGUACAUCUUUCUAGAAGCUACAGAAUUGUUACGGACGGAGUCACCAUUUUGCCAAAUACUUAAAUGAAAUGGGUAGAUUUUCCAAGGGAAACUCUGAUUGGAUAAUACAUUUAAAGAUCUUGGCUAAAGAUAAAUAACAGAACUCAAAGCCAGCUUUUUAAAAAAUGUCAUUGCUACGUGCUUUUAAAAAGGCAGAAGUAAUCACUCUUUAAUCUUCAAACGUUAAUUCCCUCGGUUUUCGGAUUAAAUUUAAUGCCGCUCUUGAACCUAACGUUGAAAAGGCCAAUGUUUAAACUCAACUCAUCCCAUACGAUAGGUGCCAAGUAAACAUUCCCCAUGUUUUUCAUCACUUCGUUUAUAACACUCUCUGACUGAAUAAACAAAAGGUAUGGAAUUGCUAGCGGUCACUUGCAGUAGGUGGGCGAGGGGAUGGGGUGCAAGAGGCGAGUCCUGGAAGGCACGUUGGAACAGAGUGUACGGGUGGCCCUGGGCGGUCCUGCAGACCGUCGGCAGGUGCGGGUCUGACCAAGCAGCCGUAGGUCUUAGCCAGUCUCUGGGAGGUUUGCUGCUCUCGUGCUCAGUUUUACUAGAUGUUUCAUAAUGACAUGGGGUUACAACUAGCCUUGAUUUUGAGAAUGCAUCAUGGGGCUAAUUUACUUUAGCUGGGCACCGGAGAAGAAUGAUACACAUGCAGUGAACAUUAAACAAAAAACAUCAGUGUAGCUAACUCGGAUUUCUGAGGCCCAGAGUCACCUAAAGAUAUAGUUUCUAUCUUUGUUAGUGUAGUUGUCUUAUUAACUGUCAAGGUCAACAUCCUACCCAUGAGCUUUACUACCCAGGGAAAGCUGUUUAUUUGGGGGGAAAAUAAAUAAACAUUUCCCUGGGAAUAACUUGUUUUAUUUUUACCUCAUGUUCAGUUCUUCAAACACUUGUUCUCCAGCCUUAAGUUUAACUAAAUAGAAAAUCUGUCGUUCAAUUUGAAAAGAAAUAAUCCAUAAUCCGCUGAAGAAUUUAUAGCAGCUGUUAAACUGUGUCACUUAAACUGCCAGAAAAUCGAUGAUUAAUGGAAUGUUUAGAAGAUGUUUUUGUUCAUUGAACAAGAUGUGAUUUUUUUUUUUUUU